rnacentral:tRNA from 1 species
CGGGAUAUAGUACAGUUGGUUAGUAUGCAUGCUUUGGGAGCAUGAGGUCGCCCGUUCGAGUCGGGCUAUCCCGA